rnacentral:antisense_RNA from 1 species
AGGAGCUGCCGAAGGCUGCGAUCUUUUGAUCUUGGUUUUUAAGAUCAAGAUCAAAAGAUCGCAGCCUUCGGCAACUCCU